rnacentral:rRNA from 1 species
AACGAACGCUGGCGGCAUGCCUAACACAUGCAAGUCGAACGAGACCUUCGGGUCUAGUGGCGCACGGGUGCGUAACGCGUGGGAACCUGCCCUUAGGUUCGGAAUAACUCCCCGAAAGGGGUGCUAAUACCGGAUAAUGUCUUCGGACCAAAGAUUUAUCGCCUUUGGAUGGGCCCGCGUUGGAUUAGCUAGUUGGUAGGGUAAAAGCCUACCAAGGCGACGAUCCAUAGCUGGUCUGAGAGGAUGAUCAGCCACACUGGGACUGAGGCACGGCCCAGACUCCUACGGGAGGCAGCAGUGGGGAAUAUUGGACGAUGGGCGAAAGCCUGAUCCAGCAAUGCCGCGUGAGUGAUGAAGGCCUUAGGGUUGUAAAGCUCUUUUACCCGGGAUGAUAAUGACAGUACCGGGAGAAUAAGCUCCGGCUAACUCCGUG